rnacentral:rRNA from 1 species
UACGUAGGUGGCAAGCGUUGUCCGGAGUUAUUGGGCGUAAAGCGCGCGCAGGCGGUUCGCAAAGUCCAUGGUGAAAGCGCCCGGCUCAACUGGGCGAGUGCCGUGGGGACUGGCGAGCUGGAGGGGAGCAGAGGCGAGUGGAAUUCCGGGUGUAGUGGUGAAAUGCGUAGAGAUCCGGAGGAACACCAGUGGCGAAGGCGGCUCGCUGGGCUUUACCUGACGCUGAGGCGCGAAAGCGUGGGGAGCGAACCGG